UACGUAGGGUGCAAGCGUUAAUCGGAAUUACUGGGCGUAAAGCGUGCGUAGGCGGUUUUGUAAGUCUGUUGUGAAAUCCCCGGGCUCAACCUGGGAAUUGCAUUGGAGACUGCAAGGCUAGAAUCUGGCAGAGGGGGGUAGAAUUCCACGUGUAGCAGUGAAAUGCGUAGAGAUGUGGAGGAACACCGAUGGCGAAGGCAGCCCCCUGGGUCAAGAUUGACGCUCAUGCACGAAAGCGUGGGGAGCAAACAGG
rnacentral:rRNA from 1 species